rnacentral:lncRNA from 1 species
CAUUGCAUUUAUUUUGUAUUUAGAUGCCUGUUUGAACAGACAGCACCCACCACAAGUAUUUCAGCUUGCUGUGGGGACCUCGUGCCCCUGAGACUUUCAGCUUCUGUCAGCCCAUCCUCAUGUUACAAUGAUAAGAUGUUGCUCCCAGAGAAAAUAACAGCAGCAAAGCCUGGGAUCACUGUGCUGCUGCCAUCAGUAUUUCUGCAGUGAGACGUGAACUGUGCCUUACCUUUGUGAGUUUGAUUUACAUUUCAUUAAGUCUACUUUCUUCUGUGAGAAAGCACUUUCUUCUUAUUUGCAUAAAC